UUAAAUCUGGCCAACUAGAGUAAGCAAGAUCAAUAACCUCUGAAGAGUUUUGCUCUAUAGAGAAAGAAGUACAGUGGUCAGGUUCAGGCAUACAGGUAACUAGGUUUAAAGUUUGACAAGUUUUAAGUAUUAUUUCUAGCAUAUCUGUAAGUAUAGCCCAGUAUUUAAUAAGUCGGCCUCCAUCAUCCGUUGGUGGCUUUUGGCUUCUAAGACAAAUCUGGACCUGAUGUGAAGUCAUUACAGUCAGGGACUGGUUUUGUUUUGGCUAAAGCAUCUGUCUGCAGAU